rnacentral:rRNA from 1 species
GAUGAACGCUGGCGGCGUGCCUAAUACAUGCAAGUCGAGCGAACAGAUGAGGAGCUUGCUCCUCUGACGUUAGCGGCGGACGGGUGAGUAACACGUGGAUAACCUACCUAUAAGACUGGGAUAACUUCGGGAAACCGGAGCUAAUACCGGAUAAUAUAUUGAACCGCAUGGUUCAAUAGUGAAAGACGGUUUUGCUGUCACUUAUAGAUGGAUCCGCGCCGCAUUAGCUAGUUGGUAAGGUAACGGCUUACCAAGGCAACGAUGCGUAGCCGACCUGAGAGGGUGAUCGGCCACACUGGAACUGAGACACGGUCCAGACUCCUACGGGAGGCAGCAGUAGGGAAUCUUCCGCAAUGGGCGAAAGCUUGACGGAGCAACGCCGCGUGCGGGAUGACGGCCUUCGGGUUGUAAACCGCUUUCGCCUGUGACGAAGCGUGAGUGACGGUAAUGGGCAAAGAAGCACCGGCUAACUACGUG